GAAAUCGGUAGACGCUACGGACUUAAAAUCCGUUGGCUUUUUAGACCGUGAGGGUUCAAGUCCCUCUACCCUCA
rnacentral:tRNA from 3 species